rnacentral:rRNA from 2 species
CUUGCUGGGUGGAUUAGUGGCGAACGGGUGAGUAACACGUGAGUAACCUGCCCUUGACUCUGGGAUAAGCCUGGGAAACUGGGUCUAAUACUGGAUAUGACUGCUCCGCGCAUGCGGUGGUGGUGGAAAGCUUUUGCGGUUUUGGAUGGACUCGCGGCCUAUCAGCUUGUUGGUGGGGUAAUGGCCUACCAAGGCGACGACGGGUAGCCGGCCUGAGAGGGUGACCGGCCACACUGGGACUGAGACACGGCCCAGACUCCUACGGGAGGCAGCAGUGGGGAAUAUUGCACAAUGGGCGCAAGCCUGAUGCAGCGACGCCGCGUGAGGGAUGACGGCCUUCGGGUUGUAAACCUCUUUCAGUAGGGAAGAAGCUUUCGGGUGACGGUACCUGCAGAAGAAGCGCCGGCUAACUACGUGCCAGCAGCCGCGGUAAUACGUAGGGCGCAAGCGUUAUCCGGAAUUAUUGGGCGUAAAGAGCUCGUAGGCGGUUUGUCGCGUCUGCUGUGAAAGACCGGGGCUCAACUCCGGUUCUGCAGUGGGUACGGGCAGACUAGAGUGAUGUAGGGGAGACUGGAAUUCCUGGUGUAGCGGUGAAAUGC